rnacentral:lncRNA from 1 species
GGAGCUCAGGCGGAGAGAAAUGUACAUAAAUUACCGGGAAUAUUUAUAUGCGAUUUCAUACCUGGUGGAGGGCUUUCAUAUCCACCAUCUCAUUUAAUCUCCAGGAGGCCCCCAAGAGGCCCCUGCCUUUGGCUGCCAGCAGGGCUGGCCUUUAAACCAUCUCGGAAGGGAGUUAUUAAACCUUAAAGGUUGUCAGCAGGCGGGGACUCUGGUCCCUGGCACUGAACUCAUUUCCCUGGGAAAGGAUGGGGAGGUGGUGGAGGGUGAGUUGGUGCUUUAUUUAUUUAUUUAUUUAUUUAUUUAUUUAUUUAUUUUUGAGACAGAGUCCUGCUCUCUUGCCCAGGCUGGAGUGCAGAGGUGCAAUCGCUGCUCAUGGUAGCCUCAACCUCUCAGGCUCAAGUGGUCCUCCCGCCUCAGCCUCCCAAGCAGCUGGGACCACAGGCAUGUGGUUAUAUUCUUUUUUUCUUUUCUUUCUUUCUUUUCUUUUCUUUUGUAGAAAUGGGGUCUCCCUAUGUUGCCUAGGCUAGUCUCAAACUGCUGGCCUCCAACGAUCCUCCUGCCUUGGCCUCCAAAGUACUGGGAUUACAGGUGUGCACUACUGUACCCGGCCCACUGCUGUUUUUUGGAAAGUGAAGAUGGACUGUCUUGUUACAUUUUUUUACUGCCUGCAAGGCCAGCCCUAGCCAGUCAUACCCACAACGUAGCAGACAGCCUGCAAGACUCCAAGGUACCGGAUCCACCUGUGUCCCCAUGUGAAGUGAGAGGCCACAGGAACCCCGCUUCUCUUGUCUGGUACUCUCCACGACUCGGAAAACUUGGCCUUGACUGUUGGAACCCAGGAUCAACAUCCGAGCCUAAAGCAAGCAUGUAGAAGGACAUGAGAAGGCCAUCUUCUUGGGACGUAGGGAUGAUGAGAUUGCUCAGUGGGGGUGGUCCAGCUGGUGCUAGAGAAAGUGGCCAUGGUAUUGGUGUCCAAGGAGCAUGACCAGACCGCAGGACUGCAGAGGACCACUUGGGUCCUGAGGGAGGGGACCUGUUGCUCUGGCCCUCCCCAGUGCUGUUUACUUCCUUGUUUCUUCCCAUCCCUGUGUUUUUCCCAUAGGCCCCUCCCUGGGACUGAAGUUUCUAGACAGAGUGAUUGCGAGUCCUUGUUUGCCCAGGACAGCUCUGGUUUAUGCCUGGUGUCCUGGCAUAAUCAUUAACAGCUCCCUCUUUCACUCUAAAAAAUGUCCUGGCUUGGACUUUAAAUUACAUAGUCACUCUAUGACACAGUCGCCCUGUGUCUUGGAUGCUUCUCUUCUAGGAAGAGCCUCUGCCCUAAAGGAGGCUCUAACAGUGGAGGAGAGAGACGCCAAUCAGAUCGUUACCAAGCAAACAGGGGAGUAAACGGUUGAGCUUUGUAACUGGGAGGCCUUUGAGGAGGCACCUAAUCCAGAUCCGGGGUCUUAAGAGGGCUUCCUAGAGGGGGUGAUUCGGCUGCCAACUGGAAAUAAGAGGGAUUAGGCUGGACGUGGUGGCUCAAGCCUGUAAUCCCAGCACUUUGGGAGGCCGAGGUGGGUAGAUCGCUUGAGCUCAGGAGUUCAAGACCACUCUGGGCAAUACGGUGAAACCCCGUCUCUACUAAAAUACAAAAAAUUAGCUGGACGUGGUGGCGCGCACCUGUAGUCCCAGCUACUCUGGAGGCUGAGGCAGGAGAAUCGCUUGAGACCCGGAGGCAGAGGUUGCAGUGAGCCGAGAUUGCGCCACUGCACUGCAGCUUGGGCGACAGAGUGAGACUUCAUCUCAAAAAAAAAAAAAAAAAAAAAAAGAGGGAUUGAUCAGUCCAAGGUGGGGCAGGAAGGGAGUCCUGGGGACAGAAUGGGCACACAGUGUGGCUGGUGUGAAAUGAGGCUGGAGAGGCCGGUGUUGGGUGGGGCUUGCACCCCACACCAAGGGGCUGCCCUUCAUGCUGGAGGCAGUGGAGAGGAUGCAGAUGGUCCAGGCUGCUCAAAGCAUGGCCCAAGGGCUGGUGCCAGUCUAAGAACUGUGUGUUACCCAUCAUUGACCAAGCAAGUUUAGAAACUGAGAGGAAAUAGAAAUGGUCAUAGCAAUUUGACAAGGUAAUUUUACGCCCGUUGAUUUAAUGAUAAAAAUUAGCCUUGCGUUUUGUAUGUUAUUUCGAAUUUUAUUUUUUCUAAUAAUUAAUAUUCAUCUUAUUUUUGCAAACACAGUGAUGGUAACACCACUUUGGCAGUUCCUUAAACAGUUAAACCUGGAAUCCUACUCCCAGGGGUAUACUCAAGAGAAUUGAAAACGUAUGAUCACACCAAAACUUGUACGUAAAUAUUUGUUAUAACAUCACUAACAAUUGCCAAAAAGUGGAAACAGCUCAAAUGUACAUCAACUGAUGAAUGGAUAAACAAAAUGUGGUAUAGAUCUUGGCUGGGCACAGUGGCUCACACCUGGAAUCCCAGCACUUUGGGAUUUGAGGCCAGGAGCUCAAGACCAGCCUGGCCAACAUGGUGAAACCCCGUCUAUACUAAAAAUACAAAAAUUGGCCGGGCGUAGUGGCACACGCCUGUAAUCCCAGCUACUCAGGAGGCUGAGGCAGGAGAAUCACUUGAAACUGGGAGGUGGAGGUUGCAGUGAGCUGAGAUUGUACCACUGCACUCCAGCCUGGGUGACAGAGCGAAACUCCAUCUCAAAACAACAACAAAAACAACACAAACCAUCCCCCCGCCCCCUAGAAAAAUUCCAAAGUGGUAUAUCUAUAGGACGGAUUUGUUUGUUUGUUUGUUUGUUUUUGAGACAGAGUUUCACUCUUGUUGCCCAGGUUAGAGUACAGCGUGCGAUCUUGGCUCACUGCAACCUCUGCCUCUGGGGUUCAAGCAAUUAUCCUGCCUCAGCCUCCUGAGUAGCUGGGAUUAUAGGUGUGCACCACCACAUCCAGCUAAUUUUUUGUAUUUUUAGUAGAGAUGGGGUUUCAUCAGGCUGGUCUCCAACUCCUGACCUCAGGAGUUCCUCCGCAUGCCUCGGCCUCCCAAAGUGCUGGGAUUACAGGUGUGAGCCACCAUGCCCGGCCUAUAGGAUGGAAUAUUAAUCAACUACAAAACGGAAUGAAGUUCUGAUCCAUGCUAUGACAUGGAUGAAGCUUGAAAACAUUAUGCCAAGUGAAAGAAGCCACGUAUUGCAUGUUUCCAUUGAUAUGAAAUGUAUAGAAUAGGCAAAUCCACAGAAACAGAAAAUAGAUUAGUGAUUGCCAGGGGCCAGGGGAAGGAGGAAAUGAGGAGUAAGUAUUAAGGGGUAUGGAUUUCUUUCUGGGCUGAUGAAAAUGUUGCAGAAUUAGGUGGUGGUGAUGGCUGUGCAAUGUUCUGAAAUACAUUGAAAACCACGGAACUGCACAUCUUAAAAGAG